UAUCAAUAAGCGGAGGAAAAGAAACCAACAGGGAUUGCCCUUAGUAACGGCGAAGUGAAGCGGCAACAGCUCAAAUUUGAAAUCUGGCUUCGGCCCGAGUUGUAAUUUGCAGAGGAAGCUUUAGGCGCGGCACCUUCUGAGUCCCCUGGAACGGGGCGCCAUAGAGGGUGAGAGCCCCGUAUAGUUGGAUGCCUAGCCUGUGUAAAGCUCCUUCGACGAGUCGAGUAGUUUGGGAAUGCUGCUCAAAAUGGGAGGUAAAUUUCUUCUAAAGCUAAAUACCGGCCAGAGACCGAUAGCGCACAAGUAGAGUGAUCGAAAGAUGAAAAGCACUUUGAAAAGAGGGUUAAAUAGCACGUGAAAUUGUUGAAAGGGAAGCGCUUGUGACCAGACUUGCGCCGGGCUGAUCAUCCGGUGUUCUCACCGGUGCACUCUGCCCGGCUCAGGCCAGCAUCGGUUCUCGCGGGGGGAUAAAGGUUCCGGGAAUGUAGCUCCUCCGGGAGUGUUAUAGCCCGGGGCGUAAUGCCCUCGCGGGGACCGAGGUUCGCGCUCUGCAAGGAUGCUGGCGUAAUGGUCAUCAGCGACCCGUCUUGAAACACGGACCAAGGAGUCAAGGUUUUGCGCGAGUGUUUGGGUGUAAAACCCGCACGCGUAAUGAAAGUGAACGUAGGUGAGAGCUUCGGCGCAUCAUCGACCGAUCCUGAUGUUUUCGGAUGGAUUUGAGUAAGAGCGUUAAGCCUUGGACCCGAAAGAUGGUGAACUAUGCUUGGAUAGGGUGAAGCCAGAGGAAACUCUGGUGGAGGCUCGCAGCGGUUCUGACGUGCAAAUCGAUCGUCAAAUCUGAGCAUGGGGGGCGAAAGACUAAUCGAACCAUCUAGUAGCUGGUACCGC
rnacentral:rRNA from 1 species